UUUUUAUUUAUUUUUUUUUUUUUUUUACCAUCUGUGAAUUCUACUGCUUAAUCUUUUUCUUGUCUUGGCUGCGAUGCACCACUUUAUGUUUGCAUUAUUAUAGAUCCCGCUGUGAAACUUCAAUGUGCGAACACAAAACAUGAUUUCCAAGUCUAUUUAUUCCUGCAGGAUUAGUGGGAAGAGCGCGAGGAAGCAGCUGCGGCGGAAUCGACCAUGAAUGUUGGGGGAGAGGAACGCAUUUCCUUAAGAGUUUGGAAGAGGUGCAGCUGGCACAGCCAGUCCUAGGCAUAAGCAAGCUACACUCCUACUCUGGACCACUCUGCAGCAGGGGGGUUCCCACUGAGCAGCUCGACCUCUCACACAGAUGUAGAUCUUAGGCUCUUCGAAUUGUGCCUAAAUGUCAAAAAAUCUGAUAAUUUUAUACUAUGCUUUAAGGGUUUAAAAUGAAUUAAUACAAAUAAAAUAAAAAUAGAUCUGAAAAUAAAAUAGAUUUAGCUUCAAAAUGUAAAGAAUUAUCAAUAUGGAAAAAAUCAUGGAUUAUACAGUUUAAUAUAAUGUAACCAGUGCAAUAUUGUACUUACAGUUUAGUCGAAUUUUAUUCAAGCUAAUCAGUCAAUAAAAAAACCCCUCCAUUUCCCACCCAAUUUAAACUUCACUUUUCCCUCCCUUUUUAACUGCUCUUAUUCAAUAAAUGAAUUGGGGCCCAAAGGCCCAGGACCAUAUAAAGUAUUGGCUUGGCUCUGUGUAAGUAGCGUAGAUACCCGCUGAUAAAAGCUCACUACAACAAGCACAGAGUGAGGGGGGUUUUCUAACCCGUCCUUCCUGUGAUCUUUUGAAGCCCCAUAAAUCCGCUUUUAUACCUCCGCAGUUUGUUAAUGAAAUGUGCGUUUUAAGCACACAUGCACGGCUUAGCGCGACAAAAACCUUUUAGUAUAAUAAGCCAUCUUGCUCCUGAAUGAAACCGUUGGGAGGGACACAGAAGAGAUGCAGCAGCAGCUCAGGUGAUGGAAACAGCGUUGGAAAAACUACCACCAAGGUCGCUGGUAUAACAAAUAAUUGUGAUCAUAAUAAUGUGCUGCUCCGGUGAACUCUGAUGAAUAGAUCUCCCCCCCUCCCUUCAGGUUAUACCCGUGCUGCUGGAGUCAGAGGUCAGGGUCACCUGCGGAAGCUAUAAGAGCGUUUCGGUUUGUUCAGAGGCAUUUAGGCUCAAUAAAGGUUUUUAAAAAAGGCUUAUUCUAAAUAUAUUUUUGCAAAUUUAAUCUUCUUUGGAGAUAAAUAGCUAUUCUUCAGUCGGUCACACAAACACAACUUUUAAAAACUUGUUUGCAAUUUCCUGUAGGUUUUUAAAUGUUUUUCUGUAUCUCUUUAAAACUGGAUUAAUCUUUUUAUUUUCUAUAAUAUGCAAAGAGUAAGGCAUUCCAACAUACUCAGCUCAAUUAAUUAGGUUAGAGUGCAUCUGAGGGCUGCCGCUUAAUUACACAGAUAUGAUAAAUUAAUGCAUUGUUGGCGCGUCUGUAAUUAUGCUAAUUAUUUUAUACUAGCAGCAAAAUCUUCACCCUGUCAGAUUUAAUAACAAGUGAAAAUCUCAAGCAGCUGUUAGCAAAAAAAA